rnacentral:misc_RNA from 1 species
GAAGUCCCAGAAGAGGCUGAAGAGGACAUUGAUAGAAGACCUAAAUGUUGCAUAUGGAAUGGUGAAGAUUAUGUGUCUGAUCCUGAUGAGGAUGAGAAGUUUCAACCUAGAAGUUCGAACAAUGAUGGUCAGAUUGUUGCUGAAGUUGAAAUGAGGGAUUAUUCAGAUGAAAAGGAAGACAAGAGAGAAGAGCAUCCGCGUUCUUGACACAUGGAAUUGCUUGUUCUUGGUUCAGUGCCUCUUUUUUCUUAUUCUUGUAGAAUCAGAGAUCUUCCUCCGACAAUGAAAGCUCGGACUUCCAAGCCCUGAGGUUGGUCUUAGACACUUCUGAUGAGGCAUAGAGCAGAAACUUACAAACACUUAGCUCCCUUGCUGUCACCCUAUUUGUUUGAAAUUGUAUUUUAUAGGUUCCGUUUUUUUAUAUAAAAAUUAUUUUUCCCGAAAAAAACGGAACCUAUAAAAUACAAUUU